rnacentral:rRNA from 1 species
AUGCCUAUCUUAUCAGAUGAAAUUGGUCUAUGUAUAUCUCUUAAGAAACUACAGCAACAGAUAUAUGUGAAACACCGCAUACCUCAACAAAAGAUGAUGUUUCAUGGAAGCCACCCAUUGAAUCCCAAAACUAUAAAGCUCUCAGCCUCUGGUAGAAGGUUUUUCAUCUUCACAGUAACCUUAACAUCUUGCACAAGCCCUUCUCAAGCACACAUAAAACAAGUUUAUGUGCCCACGCUAGUCAAUAAUUAUUACACCCCAGUUGUGUCGCACUGUAGUUUGACAGCUUGGCUUUUCAAAUUUGCUUGUAUCACAUAUAUAGUUUUUUUUCUCUUCGUUGCGAACAACAAGUAA